rnacentral:ncRNA from 1 species
AUGAGCAGAAGAGGCGCAGUCUUCAGGCAGUUAUUUCAUCAGGCCGGAACCAUUGAAAUAAUCAGGGGAAGACUGCCGAGACGGCUCAAUUUUCCGGAAAUGGCGCUGUCGGCUGCCAGGGCUGAAUCCCUGGGGCUGUCAUCAACGGUAACGGUUUGAUGGAGUGCUUCUGGGUAA